rnacentral:rRNA from 1 species
UACGUAGGGUGCAGGCGUUAAUCGGAAUUACUGGGCGUAAAGCGUGCGCAGGCGGUCUUUUAAGUCAGAUGUGAAAUCCCCGGGCUUAACCUGGGACUGCGUUUGAAACUGGAAGGCUAGAGUGUGGCAGAGGGGGGUGGAAUUCCGACGUGUAGCAGUGAAAUGCGUAGAGAUGUGGAGGAACACCGAUGGCGAAGGCAGCCCCCUGGGUUAACACUGACGCUCAGGCACGAAAGCGUGGGGAGCAAACAGG